rnacentral:rRNA from 1 species
GACGAACGCUGGCGGCGUGCUUAACACAUGCAAGUCGAGCGGUAAGGCCCCUCGGGGUACGACGAGCGGCGAACGGGUGAGUAACACGUGGGUGACCUGCCCUCCAGCUCUGGGAGUAAGCCUGGGAAACGUAGGGUCGUAAUACCGGAUAUGACUCCAUGACGCAUGUCGUGGGGUGGAAAGCCUUGUGCGGCGUGGGGAGUGGGCCCGCGGCCUAUCAACUUGUUGGUGGGGUGAUGGCCUACCAAGGCGACGACGGGUAGCCGGCCUGAGAGGGCGACCGGCCACACUGGGACUGAGACACGGCCCAGACUCCUACGGGAGGCAGCAGUGGGGAAUCUUGCGCAAUGGGCGAAAGCCUGACGCAGCGACGCCGCGUGAGGGAGUGCGGAACC